rnacentral:rRNA from 1 species
AUGGCUUCUACUGUGGACCGGAGGGAUCAAUCCUCCCGGAGGUCAGGGCACACGAGGUCUCGUUCUCCAGCGAAGGAGCGCGUAUCGCCUCCACGCAAGCAGAGCCCGCCAGCUCGGAGGGAGAGGUCACGGCCUGAGAGGACUGGCUCGCCUAGGAGGCCGGGGCACACAAGGUCCCGUUCUCCGGCCAGGGAGCGUGUGUCGCCUCCACGCAAGCACAGCUCGUCAGCUCGGAGGGAGAGCUCAAAUGCUGAGAGGAGUGGCUCGCCUAGGAGGCGGUCCCCUGUCAAGGCUAGCCUUUCACACAGGGAGAGGUCGCCACAGAGAGAGAAGGUGAAGGAACGGGUGAGGUCGCCGAAACACGCACGGUCGCCGUCACCUGCUGGGAAACGGGAGUCUCGGUCGCUCUCACCACGUUCCAAGCGACUAAGGAGAGCUCAGGCUGAGCGGGAAGGGGCAGAUGUAACUGAGGGCGACCGUCGGAGACCUCCCAGUAGUGAAGACCGGGGCACACGGAAGCACAGGGAGCGUGAUGAGGGGAGGGAUGCGUCAAGGGAUAGGAAGGUGGAGCCAAAAGAUGAUAGGAGUGCCUUCACAGGUAGAAGACUGGACGAUGAUGAUGAUGGAAGGGGUCACUCAAGAGAUAGAAGAACUGACAGGGAUGAUAGGUCAGGUGCUUCGAGAGAGGCACGAUCAGGCCGGGACGACGACAGACAUGAUUCAAAAGGGAAAAGGUCAGACCCGGACCGAAAAGGUGGUUCCAGGGAGCAAAGGACAGACCAAAGUCCCAGAAGGGAUUCCGUGGGAGAUAGAAUGGCAGACCGGGAUGAGAGCAAUGGUGGAUCAGGACGAUCAUCUAGGCGUGGCCGAUCAGGGUCUCCAGAAGAGCAUAGACAUAGGGGCAGGCAUGAAUCUCACACAUCACCAAGGGCAUCCAGAAGUGCAGCACAUCGUGAGUUCUAUAUACAUCCAUUUCCAAGACAAGUAAUUCCGAACGGAGGGAGUAUUUGGAGUGGUGAUGCUGAUUCAUUGGCAAUGAUGAAUACUGCUGCAGAAGCUCUGGAGGUGAAAGAAAAGCAAAAACCAUCAUUUGAGCUGUCUGGAAAGCUUGCCGAGGAGACUAACAAAGUUGGAGGUAUAACCUUGUUGUAUUCAGAACCUCCAGAGGCUCGCAAAUCAGAUAUUAGAUGGAGACUCUAUGUAUUCAAGGGUGGUGAAGCACUGAAUGAACCGCUGUAUGUUCAUCGCAUGAGCCACUACCUUUUUGGAAGGGAAAGGAGAAUUGCAGACAUCCCCACCGACCAUCCCUCCUGCAGCAAGCAACAUGCGGUUCUUCAAUAUAGACUUGUAGAGAAGGAGCAACCAGAUGGCAUGAUGUCAAAGCAAGUGAGGCCUUAUCUGAUGGAUCUUGGUAGUACCAAUGGGACAUUCAUCAAUGAGGAUCGUGUCGAGUCCCACCGCUACUACGAACUCUUCGAAAGGGACAACAUCAAGUUUGGCAAUAGUAGCCGGGAGUACGUGUUGCUCCACGAGAACUCGACAGACUGA